CAGAGGGUGCAAACGUUGUUCGGAAUUACUGGGCGUAAAGCGCGUGUAGGCUGCUUCGAAAGUCGGAUGUGAAAGCCCUGGGCUCAACCUAGGAAGUGCAUUCGAAACUUCGAAGCUGGAGUCCUGGAGAGGAAGGCGGAAUUCUCGGUGUAGAGGUGAAAUUCGUAGAUAUCGAGAGGAACACCGGUGGCGAAGGCGGCCUUCUGGACAGUGACUGACGCUGAGACGCGAAAGCGUGGGGGAGCAAACAGGAUUAGAUACCCUGGUAGUCCACGCCGUAAACGAUGGGUGCUAGGUGUCAGGGGCUUUGACCCCUCUGGUGCCGUAGCUAACGCAUUAAGCACCCCGCCUGGGGAGUACGGCCGCAAGGCUA
rnacentral:rRNA from 1 species